rnacentral:rRNA from 1 species
UACGUAGGUGGCAAGCGUUGUCCGGAAUUAUUGGGCGUAAAGCGCGCGCAGGCGGUCCUUUAAGUCUGAUGUGAAAUCCCGUGGCUUAACCACGGGCGGUCAUUGGAAACUGGGGGACUUGAGUGCAGAAGAGAAGAGCGGAAUUCCACGUGUAGCGGUGAAAUGCGUAGAGAUGUGGAGGAACACCAGUGGCGAAGGCGGCUCUUUGGUCUGUAACUGACGCUGAGGCGCGAAAGCUAGGGGAGCAAACGGG